GUUGAAACACCGAUUCUCGUCAAAUCCCCGAACAUAAGCAACGUCGUGUUUGGUUAGUACAUAGAUGGGUGACCUCUUGGGAAUACCAGGUGCU